rnacentral:rRNA from 1 species
GACGAACGCUGGCGGCGUGCCUAAUACAUGCAAGUCGAACGCAGUGGGGACGGGUGAGUAACCCGUGGGUAACCUCCCAUCAGAGGGGAUAACACUUGGAAACAGGUGCUAAACCGAUACUGAUGGAUGGAACCGCGGUGCAUUAGCUAGUUGGUGAGGUAACGGCUCACCAAGGCCACGAUGCAUAACCGACCUGAGAGGGUGAUCGGCCACACUGGGACUGAGACACGGCCCAGACUCCUACGGGAGGCAGUAGUGGGGAAUCUUCGGCAAUGGACGAAAGCCUGACCGAGCAACGCCGCGUGUGUGAAGAAGGUUGUCGGAUCGUAAAGCUCUUUUGUUAGAGAAGCGUUAUCUAAACAGAAAGCCACGGCUAACUCCGUGCCAGCAGCCGCGGUAAUUC